rnacentral:rRNA from 1 species
AGAGUUUGAUCCUGGCUCAGAUUGAACGCUGGCGGCAGGCCUAACACAUGCAAGUCGAGCGGUAGCACAGAGAGCUUGCUCUCGGGUGACGAGCGGCGGACGGGUGAGUAAUGUCUGGGAAACUGCCUGAUGGAGGGGGAUAACUACUGGAAACGGUAGCUAAUACCGCAUAAUGUCGCAAGACCAAAGUGGGGGACCUUCGGGCCUCAUGCCAUCAGAUGUGCCCAGAUGGGAUUAGCUAGUAGGUGGGGUAACGGCUCACCUAGGCGACGAUCCCUAGCUGGUCUGAGAGGAUGACCAGCCACACUGGAACUGAGACACGGUCCAGACUCCUACGGGAGGCAGCAGUGGGGAAUAUUGCACAAUGGGCGCAAGCCUGAUGCAGCCAUGCCGCGUGUGUGAAGAAGGCCUUCGGGUUGUAAAGCACUUUCAGCGGGGAGGAAGGCGUUAAGGUUAAUAACCUUGGCGAUUGACGUUACCCGCAGAAGAAGCACCGGCUAACUCCGUGCCAGCAGCCGCGGUAAUACGGAGGGUGCAAGCGUUGAUCGGAAUUACUGGGCGUAAAGCGCACGCAGGCGGUCUGUCAAGUCGGAUGUGAAAUCCCCGGGCUCAACCUGGGAACUGCAUUCGAAACUGGCAGGCUAGAGUCUUGUAGAGGGGGGUAGAAUUCCAGGUGUAGCGGUGAAAUGCGUAGAGAUCUGGAGGAAUACCGGUGGCGAAGGCGGCCCCCUGGACAAAGACUGACGCUCAGGUGCGAAAGCGUGGGGAGCAAACAGGAUUAGAUACCCUGGUAGUCCACGCCGUAAACGAUGUCGAUUUGGAGGUUGUGCCCUUGAGGCGUGGCUUCCGGAGCUAACGCGUUAAAUCGACCGCCUGGGGAGUACGGCCGCAGGGUUAAAACUCAAAUGAAUUGACGGGGGCCCGCACAAGCGGUGGAGCAUGUGGUUUAAUUCGAUGCAACGCGAAGAACCUUACCUGGUCUUGACAUCCACAGAACUUUCCAGAGAUGGAUUGGUGCCUUCGGGAACUGUGAGACAGGUGCUGCAUGGCUGUCGUCAGCUCGUGUUGUGAAAUGUUGGGUUAAGUCCCGCAACGAGCGCAACCCUUAUCCUUUGUUGCCAGCGGUUCGGCCGGGAACUCAAAGGAGACUGCCAGUGAUAAACUGGAGGAAGGUGGGGAUGACGUCAAGUCAUCAUGGCCCUUACGACCAGGGCUACACACGUGCUACAAUGGCAUAUACAAAGAGAAGCGACCUCGCGAGAGCAAGCGGACCUCAUAAAGUAUGUCGUAGUCCGGAUUGGAGUCUGCAACUCGACUCCAUGAAGUCGGAAUCGCUAGUAAUCGUAGAUCAGAAUGCUACGGUGAAUACGUUCCCGGGCCUUGUACACACCGCCCGUCACACCAUGGGAGUGGGUUGCAA